rfam:Arabidopsis lyrata subsp. lyrata unplaced genomic scaffold ARALYscaffold_8, whole genome shotgun sequence.
CCAAAUCUUAAGCUAAGAUUUGUGAAGAAAGAGCUCUUAUAUAAGAGCUUUUAGGUUUAUAUUUAAGCUUUUUCUUCACAAAUCUUACCUUAAGAUUUGG